rnacentral:rRNA from 1 species
UACGUAGGAGGCAAGCGUUGUCCGGAUUUACUGGGCGUAAAGCGCGCGCAGGCGGCAGUGCAAGUAAGGUGUGAAAUCUCCCCUGCUCAACGGGGAGGGUGCAUUUUAGACUGCACAGCUAGAGGUCGGUAGAGGGGGGGUGGAAUUGCUGGUGUAGCGGUGAAAUGCGUAGAGAUCAGCAGGAACACCCGUGGCGAAGGCGGCCCCCUGGGCCGUACCUGACGCUGAGGCGCGAAGGCUAGGGGAGCGAACGGG